rnacentral:rRNA from 1 species
CACGUAGGGGGCAAGCGUUGCCCGGAUUUAUUGGGCGUAAAGAGCUCGUAGGUGGUUCGGUAAGUCGGGUGUUAAACCCCCAGGCUCAACCUGGGGACGCCACUCGAUACUGCUGUGACUUGAGUCCGGUAGGGGAACGUGGAAUUCCUGGUGUAGCGGUGAAAUGCGCAGAUAUCAGGAGGAACACCAGCGGCGAAGGCGGCGCUCUGGGCCGGUACUGACACUGAGGAGCGAAAGCGUGGGGAGCGAACAGG